UUUUUGAAAUAAAAUAAUUUAAAGUCUAAUCUGCUCCAUGAUAACCAUAUUAAAUAGCUGCAGUAAAUUAACUGUACAAAGGUAGCAUAAUCAAUAGUUUUUUAAUUAAAAGCUGGAAUGAAGGAUUUGAUGAAAUAAAUAUUGUCUCAAUUUUAAUAAUUUUAGAAUUUUUUUUUUAGUAAAAAUACUAAAUUUAAUUUAAAAGACGAGAAGACCCUAUAGAUUUUUAUAUUUUUUAUAAUUUAAAUAAUUAAAUUACUUUAAAUUAUUUUAUAGAAUUUAUUAAAUUGGGGAAAUUUUUAAAUUAAUUAAAUUUUAAUUAAAUUUUAACAUUAAUUAAUGGUAAAUUGAUUAUAAUUAUAUAAUUUUAGAAUAAAUUACCUUAGGGAUAACAGCGUAAUUUUUUUAGGAAGAUCAUAUUUAUAAAAAAGUUUGCGACCUCGAUGUUGAAUUAAGAUAAAAUUUUAAUGAAGAAGUUAAAAAUUUUUGGUCUGUUCGACCAUUAAAAUCUUACGUGAUC
rnacentral:rRNA from 1 species